CUCGAAAUCUGGGCACAACAGGAUUUCUGGGCUGAAAAGACAAACAAGAGGCACGUUUGUAAUACCACACAGUCACCUCUGCUGAGCCACGACCCUGUUAAUUCCAGGAAGACCUCCAAAGUGGAGUCACACCCUUCGUGGGCCAUCUGUAUUAAGAGGCAUAUGAUGUUCAUAUGUCUUACUACUGGUGUAGUAAGUGAUAGCUGGUGAGUGAUAGCUUAAAUAACUAGGGUAUGGUGACAUUUGCCAGGAGUCUCCAUAUGUUACUAUUAUUUCCUUUGUACUUAAUAAGUACCUUGUCAGAAGAUCCUCUGAGAACAUGCAAGUAUCCUGUUUCCCCUCACUCAUCCCAAUAGCAACAUCAAUUAUAAUUCUUUCCCCCAACAAUUACCAAUAUGGGCUUUACAAAAUGGUGAUUUUCCAUUUCCAUCAUUCCUUCUACAUUUAUGUCUGAGUCAGUUCUGGCUUCUAUAGCAGAAUAACAUAAACUGGGUGAUUAAACAACAAACAUUUAUUUCACACAGUUCUGAAGGCUAGGAAGUCUAAGGUCAAGGCAGAGGCAGAUCUGAGGUUUGGUGAGGGCCUUCUUGGUUUGGAGAUAAAACAUCUUCUUACUGUAUCCUCACAUGGCAGAGAAGAGAACGCCACCUUUCGUCUCUUCAUCUUCUUACAAGAAUACUAAUCCCAUCAUGGGGCUCCACACUUAUGAUUUCAUCUAAACCUAAUUAUUUCCCUUGGGGCCAGGGAUUUAGCUCAGUGGUUCUGCCACCUGCCUCAAAAGCACAAGGACCCAAGUUCGACCCCUGGUACCAAAAAACAAAAAAAAGCUGCUCUAUAUUUCUCACCUCAUUCAUUCCCCACCCCAUUAUUCAAACACCACCCCACUGGGUACUGGGGUUUCAAUACAUAGAUUUUAAGGUAACACGAAUAUGUAAUCCAUAGCAAUGAACUCAAAUUCUACUAUAAGUGUUGUCCUUUCUCCCCUUUUUAGUUCCUUAUUCAGUUACUUAUAUCAGCAUGAAUUCACAGAUACUAUAGAUAUUUUAUUCUAUAAAUUAUAACCCAAUGCCAUCAUUAUUUAUUUGGUUGCUCAAAUUGACCAGAUUUGGCCAUUGGAAGCUCCUUCAAGCUGGCUUCUGAGUCCUUUCAAUAUG